rnacentral:rRNA from 1 species
GACGAACGCUGGCGGCGUGCUUAACACAUGCAGGUCGUACGGUAAGGCCCUUUCGGGGGUACACGAGUGGCGAACGGGUGAGUAACACGUGAGUAACCUGCCCACAACUUUGGGAUAACGCUAGGAAACUGGUGCUAAUACUGGAUAUGUGCUCCUGCUGCAUGGUGGGGGUUGGAAAGCUCCGGCGGUUGUGGAUGGACCCGCGGCCUAUCAGCUUGUUGGUGGGGUAGUGGCCUACCAAGGCGGCGACGGGUAGCCGGCCUGAGAGGGUGACCGGCCACAUUGGGACUGAGAUACGGCCCAGACUCUUACGGGAGGCAGCAGUGGGGAAUAUUGCACAAUGGGCGCAAGCCUGAUGCAGCAACGCCGCGUGCGGGAUGACGGCCUUCGGGUUGUAAACCGCUUUCAGCAGGGACGAAGCUUUUUGUGACGGUACCUGCAGAAGAAGCACCGGCUAACUACGUG